rnacentral:lncRNA from 1 species
AAUAAAUAGGGUAUAGCUCGCGAAGAAACUGGGUUCUCCUGCCUACCUACCCUCAUUGCACAAUGAGGAAAUUAUAGCUUUCGUAAUUCAGCCCACUAGGGUUGAAAAGAAGAUGAUGGAGGCAAAAGAAAUGAUUGAAUUGAAAUUGAGAUGAUUUGAAUGGAUAGACUUGAUAGCUACUGGAUGAGAAUCACACUAAAGUCUAUGGGUAAAGGUGGAUACGAUAAGCAACGAGCCAAACGUCUCGCACCCAAAGAUAUCCAUAAUGAGUGUAGGAAAG